rnacentral:rRNA from 1 species
UACGUAGGGAGCAAGCGUUGUCCGGAAUCAUUGGGCGUAAAGAGCGCGUAGGUGGCUGCAUAAGUCCGUUGUGAAAGUCAAAGGCUCAACCUUUGAAAGCCGAUGGAUACUGUGGAGCUAGAGUACGGAAGAGGCGAGUGGAAUUCCUGGUGUAGCGGUGGAAUGCGCAGAUAUCAGGAGGAACACCAAUAGCGAAGGCAGCUCGCUGGGACGUUACUGACACUGAGGCGCGAAAGCGUGGGGGGCGAACAGG